rnacentral:rRNA from 1 species
UACGUAGGGUGCGAGCGUUAAUCGGAAUUACUGGGCGUAAAGCGUGCGCAGGCGGUUUUGUAAGCCAGAUGUGAAAUCCCCGGGCUCAACCUGGGAAUGGCAUUUGGGACUGCAAGGCUGGAGUGCGGCAGAGGAGACUGGAAUUCCUGGUGUAGCAGUGAAAUGCGUAGACAUCAGGAGGAAUACCGAUGGCGAAGGCAGGUCUCUGGGCUGACACUGACGCUCAUGCACGAAAGCGUGGGGAGCAAACAGG